AUUCCAGCUCCAAUAGCGUAUAUUAAAGUUGUUGCAGUUAAAAAGCUCGUAGUUGGAUUUCUGUCUUGGAUGUCCUGUCCGCUUCCUCUGGGAGUGUGUACUUAUGGAUAUUCGAGACAUUUUUUGUGAGACUGCCUUUCUGCCAUUAAGUUGGUGGGUUGGUGGGCUUGCAUCGUUUACUGUGAAAAAAUUAGAGUGUUUAAAGCAGGCGUUUGCUCAUUUGAAUACAUUAGCAUGGAAUAAUAAGAUACGGCCUUGGUCUAUUUUGUUGGUUUUGCACACCAGGGUAAUGAUUAAUAGGGACAGUUGGGGGUAUUCAUAUUUCAGCGUCAGAGGUGAAAUUCUUGGAUCGCUGAAAGAUGAGCUUAGGCGAAAGCAUUUACCAAGGAUGUUUUCAUCA
rnacentral:rRNA from 1 species